AUUUAGUCGACCUACAUGGUGUGAAGUGAGAGAAUAUCCACCGUUGAAUGUCAGAGCAUGGUAUAAGAGUUUCUGACUUGCAUAAUUCCACUGACAUUGCAAGGUUGGAUGCUGGAUGAUUGCAGAGAUCCCAGGAUCUCCUCAAAAUUCUGGGUUCAAAAUGAUGCAAGGACAAAGGUUCAAAACUUCGCGUGCAAGAAUUCAUGCAACGUCUGGAUCCACCGGGAAUUGUCCGCACACUACAACUACAAACUGUUCGGCAUAGAAGAUAUUCUGUGCCAGCCCCCAACAGUCAAAGGCAUAUCUAUGGCAACCAUAAACUCAUAAAUUAAGGCUCUAUGUUUGGAAACUAGGAAGGAAGUACAAAAAUAAAUUAAGACCAUAUUUUUUUCACCCAUUUUGGAAAGGUAAACCUGUGUAUAAUAUAGACCAUUUUAAAUUAAGUUUAAAUAUUUAAUGCUUUUAUUUUUUAUUACGCGCUAGGAAUCAAUUUUGAUUGGGAGUGCUUUCGCUGCCAGCCUCUCCCAGUUAAAAUGGAUUGGGUGUCAAGCGCUGUCAAUGGCAGCCAAUGAGUUAAAUGUUGAUGUUUAUGGCUUGCAAAAAAAAAAAGAAACCCUCAUGUUUAAUGUCUCAAAAAAAAAAAUUAAAAACAUUUUUUGGGCCUUGCAACACAUCUUUUGUUAUUGCAGAAAUGUUGGUAUAGUUUUAGUUGACACUUCUGGGAGAUGGUUGGAUGACAUUUCACCCACUGAAAUCAAAUCAUGAGGUUUGGCAUGCCCUCUUUGCUUGUUGGCUCUUUGAAAAUGGUUUAACAAGUGCAACUUCAAAUAGGAUCAUGUAAAGUGCAUGUUUCUCACACAUAACAUUAAAAAUAACCAAUAAAAGCAUGAAAUAUCCCCCGACCAAAAAAUUACACUUUGUUCUGGUACUUGAGUAAAA